UUCUCUGGUAGGAACUAUCCUAGGACUGCACAGGAGCUGUUUAAUCUCAGACACUCCAGCCUUAGAGUAACUGUUGAGAGGGCAUUUGGAGCUCUGAAGAAUAGGUUUAAGAUCCUGGAUCAAAAGCCAUUCCACCCAUACUCCACUCAGGUUAAACUAGUUCUUGCUUGUUGCAUUCUGCAUAACUGGAUCCUCCAGUGGGGCUUUGAUGAACACAUGCCUGAGGAGGAAGAUGUCGAGCCUGACGAUGUUGUUAGCUCCAGCCAUGGUGUGGAGGCAUUUGAUAAUGAGGCUUGGAAGAACAAAAGGUUGGAGUGGGCAGAGGCGAUGUGGCUUAACAGAGGUCAGUGCAGGAUUUGA
rnacentral:rRNA from 1 species